rnacentral:piRNA from 1 species
UCCCAAACUAUUUGCAAACUU